rnacentral:lncRNA from 1 species
UGUGUCUUGGUCGCGGUUCCACUCGGGCGCAGGGGCGUUGACGAAAUGGGCAUAGAGCUUGUUCUUAGCGCAAGUGACUGUGAUCAGACUGUGCUUCCCUACUCCAUCGAUCUCGUACAGAUAGUACACCUGCCCUGUCUCUUCAUCCUUCUUCUCCUCAGACACCACUUUAUCAGCGCCUGCUAUCAGAUCCUGGAGCUCCACGUCUGACAAGGCCAGGUUGUUAAGGAUCACAUCCCUCGGCGCCAGCUGUCUGAACCCCGACAAGAACGUAAGGUACUCCUUCUCUGUCCUCUUCUUGGGGUUGUAAAAUUCGCUGUCUGUCCCGUUUGUGCCCUUCUCCACCUUCGACACCAGCCUCUC